rnacentral:tRNA from 1 species
GAUUAGCUCAACUGGAUAGAGCGUUGGCCUCCGGAGCCGAAGGUUGUGGGUUCGAGUCCCGUAUCU